rfam:Erwinia carotovora subsp. atroseptica SCRI1043, complete genome
GAAUUUUUGAUUAGCGCCUGUGGUAACACGGGCCAUUAUGGAAG